rnacentral:rRNA from 1 species
AUUGAACGCUGGCGGCAGGCCUAACACAUGCAAGUCGAGCGAGCGGCGGACGGGUGAGUAAUGUAUGGGGAUCUGCCCGAUAGAGGGGGAUAACUACUCGAAAGAGUGGCUAAUCCCGCAUACUCUUGAAGCGGCCGAUAUCGGAUUAGCUAGGUGGUGGGGUAAAGGUUCACAAAGGAAACGAUCAGUAGCUGGUUUGAGAGGACGACCAGCCACACUGGGACUGAGACACGGCCCAGACUCCUACGGUAGGCAGCAGUGGGGAAUUUUGGACAAUGGGGGAAACCCUGAUCCAGCCAUCCCGCGUGUAUGAGAAGGCCUUCGGGUUGUAAAGUACUUUUGGCAGGGAAGCGGUAUCUGCAGAAUAAGCACCGGCUAACUACGUGCCAGCAGCCGCGGUAAUAC